UUUCCGGUUGAUCCCGCCGGACCUGACUGCUAUCGGAUUGAUACUAAGCCAUGCGAGUCUUUGUAGUAAUACAAGGCAUACGGCUCAGUAACGCGUAGUCAACCUACCCUAUGGACAAGAAUAAUCUCGGGAGACUGAGCAUAAUUCUUGAUAGAUCAUAAUGCCUGGAAUGGUUUAUGGUUAAAAUGAUUCGUCGCCAUAGGAUGGGACUGCGGCCUAUCAGCUUGUUGGUGAGGUAAUGGCCCACCAAGGCGAUAACAGGUACGGGCUCUGAGAGGAGAAGCCCGGAGAUGGGUACUGAGACAAGGACCCAGGCCCUAUGGGGCGCAGCAGGCGAGAAAACUUUGCAAUGUGCGAAAGCACGACAAGGUUAGUCCGAGUGAUUUCUGCUAAAGAGAUCUUUUGCUAGUCAUAAAACCACUAGUGAAUAAGGGGUGGGCAAGUUCUGGUGUCAGCCGCCGCGGUAAAACCAGCACCUCAAGUGGUCAGGAUGAUUAUUGGGCCUAAAGCAUCCGUAGCCGGCUCUGUAAGUUUUCGGUUAAAUCUAUACGCUCAACGUAUGGGCUGCCGAAAAUACUGCAGAGAUAGGGAGUGGGAGAGGUAGACGGUACUCGGUAGGAAGGGGUAAAAUCCUUUGAUCUAUCGAUGACCACCUGUGGCGAAGGCGGUCUACCAGAACACGUUCGACGGUGAGGGAUGAAAGCUGGGGGAGCAAACCGGAUUAGAUACCCGGGUAGUCCCAGCUGUAAACGAUGCAGACUCGAUGAUGCAUUGGCAUAUAGCCAGUGCAGUGUCGCAGGGAAGCCGUUAAGUCUGCCGCCUGGGAAGUACGUACGCAAGUAUGAAACUUAAAGGAAUUGGCGGGGGAGCACCACAAGGGGUGAAGCCUGCGGUUCAAUUGGAGUCAACGCCGGG
rnacentral:rRNA from 1 species